rnacentral:rRNA from 1 species
AGUCGAGAAUCUUCGGCAAUGGGCGCAAGCCUGACCGAGCGACGCCGCGUGCGGGAUGAAGGCCUUCGGGUUGUAAACCGCUGUCGGAGGGGAGGAAAUGCUGUGGGGUUCUCCCCAUGGUUUGACCUAUCUUCAAAGGAAGGACGGGCUAAGUUCGUGCCAGCAGCCGCGGUAAGACGAACCGUCCAAACGUUAUUCGGAAUUACUGGGCUUAAAGGGUGCGUAGGCUGCGCUGUUAGUCAGGUGUGAAAUCCCUCAGCUUAACUGAGGAAUUGCGCUCGAUACUGCAGUGCUGGAGGGAGACAGGGGUAAGCGGAACUGAUGGUGGAGCGGUGAAAUGCGUUGAUAUCAUCAGGAACACCGGUGGCGAAAGCGGCUUACUGGGUCUCUUCUGACGCUGAGGCACGAAAGCUAGGGGAGCGAA